GAUGAACGCUGGCGGCGUGCCUAAUACAUGCAAGUCGAGCGAACAGAUGAGGAGCUUGCUCCUCUGACGUUAGCGGCGGACGGGUGAGUAACACGUGUAUAACCUACCUAUAAGACUGGGAUAACUUCGGGAAACCGGAGCUAAUACCGGAUAAUAUAUUGAACCGCAUGGUUCAAUAGUGAAAGACGGUUUUGCUGUCACUUAUAGAUGGAUCCGCGCCGCAUUAGCUAGUUGGUAAGGUAACGGCUUACCAAGGCGACGAUGCGUAGCCGACCUGAGAGGGUGAUCGGCCACACUGGAACUGAGACACGGUCCAGACUCCUACGGGAGGCAGCAGUAGGGAAUCUUCCGCAAUGGGCGAAAGCCUGACGGAGCAACGCCGCGUGAGUGAUGAAGGUCUUCGGAUCGUAAAACUCUGUUAUUAGGGAAGAACAAAUGUGUAAGUAACUAUGCACGUCUUGACGGUACCUAAUCAGAAAGCCACGGCUAACUACGUG
rnacentral:rRNA from 1 species